UACGGAGGGAGCUAGCGUUAUUCGGAAUUACUGGGCGUAAAGCGCACGUAGGCGGUUCGUUAAGUCGGAUGUGAAAGCCCUCGGCUCAACUGAGGAAGUGCACCCGAAACUGGCGAGCUUGAGUACGAAAGAGGAUCGCGGAAUUCCCGGUGUAGAGGUGAAAUUCGUAGAUAUCGGGAGGAACACCGGUGGCGAAGGCGGCGAUCUGGGUCGAUACUGACGCUGAGGUGCGAAAGCGUGGGGAGCAAACAGG
rnacentral:rRNA from 1 species